GACGAACGCUGGCGGCGUGCCUAAUACAUGCAAGUAGGACGCAGUUGCGAACGGGUGAGUAACGCGUAGGUAACUACCUAUUAGAGGGGGAUAACUAUUGGAAACGAUAGCUAAUACCGCAUACUAGUAGAUGGACCUGCGUUGUAUUAGCUAGUAGGUAGGGUAAUGGCCUACCCAGGCAACGAUACAUAGCCGACCUGAGAGUGUGUACGGCCACACUGGGGCUUGGACCCGGCCCAGACUCCUACGGGGGGCAACAGUAGGGAAUCGUCGGCAAAGGGGGGAACCCUUGCCGGGCAACGCCGCGUGAGUGAAGAAGGUUUUCGGAUCGUAAAGGUCUGUUGUUAAGGAAGCGGUACUUAACCAGAAAGGGACGGCUAACUACGUGCCAGCAGCCGCGGUAAUUC
rnacentral:rRNA from 1 species